GGCAAGAUGACCGAGCGGUUAAGGUGCCAGACUCAAGCGCAAAAAGUUGCCUUGCCCAUCUCCCAAGAUGGUGUGUCUUCUGGUGGGGCAACCCGCGGGAGUUCGAAUCUCCCUCUUGUCA
rnacentral:tRNA from 1 species